AUUGAACGCUGGCGGCAGGCCUAACACAUGCAAGUCGAGCGAGCGGCGGAAGGGGGAGGAAUGUCUGGGAAACACCCCCAUGGAGGAGGAUAACAACUGGAAACGGUAGCUAAUACCGCAUACCCUCAGAGGUGUCCAGAUGUGAUUAGCUGGUAGGUGGGGUAACGGCUCACCUGGGCGACGAUCCCUAGCUGGUCUGAGAGGAUGACCAGCCACACUGGAACGGAGACACGGUCCAGAGUCCUACGGGAGGCAGCAGUGGGGAAUAUUGCACAAUGGGCGCAAGCCUGAUGCAGCCAUGCCGCGUGUGUGAAGAAGGCCUUCGGGUUGUAAAGCACUUUCAGCGGGGAGGCGUUACCCGCAGAAGAAGCACCGGCUAACGCCGUGCCAGCAGCCGCGGUAAUAC
rnacentral:rRNA from 1 species